CCUACGGGAGGCAGCAGUGAGGAAUAUUGGUCAAUGGGCGCAGGCCUGAACCAGCCAAGUCGCGUGAGGGAAGACUGCCCUAUGGGUUGUAAACCUCUUUUAUAAGGGAAGAAUAAUGACGACGUGUAGUCAGAUGCACGUACCUUAUGAAUAAGCAUCGGCUAACUCCGUCCCAGCACCCGCGGUAAUACGGAGGAUGCGAGCGUUAUCAGGAUUUAUUGGGUUAAAAGGGUGCGUAGGGGGUAUUUUAAGUUAGUGGUAAAACGUCGGGGCUUCACCUGGAUUGGCCAUUAAAACUGGAGUACUAGAGUACAGACGAGGUAGGCGGAAUAAGUUAGGUAGCGGUGAAAUGCUUAGAUAUAACUUAGAACCCCGAUAGCGAAGGCAGCUUACCGGACUAUUACUGACGCUGAGGCGCGAGAGCGUGGGUAGCGAACAGGAUUAGAUACCCUUGUAGUC
rnacentral:rRNA from 1 species